CCAGGGGGGAAAGACUACAGGCCAGUCCAGGACUUGAGGGAGGUAAAUAAGAGAAUAGAAGACAUCCACCCCACGGUCCCCAACCCUUAUACCUUGCUAAGUCACUUGCCCCCUUCACAUGUUUGGUACACCACCCUAGACCUAAAGGAUGCUUUCUUUAGCAUAGCCCUGGCACCCAGCAGCCAACACAUUUUUGCCUUUGAACGGCAUGAUGACAACACGGGAACUCCCAGACAGUUGACCUGGACUAGACUGCCACAAGGCCUCAAAAACUCUCCAUUUCUGUUUAAUGAAGCCUUAAAUCAGGACUUGGACUCGUUUCGCCGGAGCCAUGAUUCAGUUGCGCUCCUGCAAUACGUAGAUGACUUGCUUCUGGCAGCCCCCACCAAGGCCGAGUGUCACUGGAGACCUCCUCCAGGAGCUGGGACAAUUGGGCUAUUGGGCCAGCACAAAGAAAGCCCAAAUAUGCAGGCAGACAGUCACCUACCUGGGGUAUAAAUUGAAGGAAGGGACCAGAUGGUUAACAGAGGCCAUGAAAGAGACUAUUCUCAGGCUCCCAGUCCCAACCUCGCCCGAGAAGUCCGUGAGUUUCUAGGAACAGCGGGCUACUGCCAGCUAUGGAUUCCGGGGUAUGCUGAGAUAGCGAAGCCCCUGUAUGAGGCAACCAAGGAUAAGGCCCCCUGGGCCCCGGGGGCCAAAACAGCAAAAGGCCUUUGACGAACUCAAGACCGCCCUCUUAAAGGCACCAACCCUGCGUUGCCAGACCCCCUGAAGUCCUUCACCCUCUUAGUCGACGAGAGGAGGGGGAUAGCGAAAGGGGUACUGACGAGAGGAGGGGGAUAGCGAAAGGGGUUCUGAUGCAGCGCCUGGGGCCAUGGAAGCGUCCGGUUGCCUAUUUACCCAAAAGACUAGACCCGGUCUAGCAGGAUGGCCCCCAUGUCUAAGGAUCAUCGCAUCAGUAGCCCUAAUGGUAGAGGACGCAAACUCACUUUCGGGCAGCAUCUGAAGGUAGUAACUCCUCAUGCGAUCGAGGGGGUCCUAAAACACCCCCCUGGUAAGUGGAUGACUAAUACCCGUCUGACCCAUUACCAAGGACUCUUGUUAGAUGCACCCCGGAUCAUCUUUGCGGGACCAGCCGCCCUAAACCCAGCCACCCUGCUGCCGACCCCGGAUCUAGAAGCCCCCCUACAUGACUGCCAGAAAUCAUGACCGAAAUCACCCAGGUGCGCCCCGACCUCCAGGACACCGCCCUCCCCAACAGUGAGCUGGAAUGGGACACUGACGGGAGCAGCUGCAUCAUGGACGGGGUGCGAAGGGCGGGUGCGGCGGUGGUGGACCGAGGCGGGGAUGUCGUUUGGAGUGCCUCGCUUCCCCCCCGCCCCCCCGGGGGCUGAUUGCGCUGGCGGAGGCGCUAGAACGGGCUGAAGGGAGACCAGUGACUGUCUACACCGAGAGUCGCUACGCUUCGCCACUGUCCGUGUGCACGGCGCCAUCUACGGGAGAGGGGCUUUGUUACAGCGGAAGGAAAAGAGCUACGCAACCUCCCAGAGGUACAGGGUUGCCGGCGGCGGGCCGUGCAAAAGCCCGGGGCAGUCGCGGUUGUUCACGUCCCUGGACCCCAGUCUGCCCGAACCUCGGAGGCCGAGGGAAACCGACGAGCGGAUGAGGCCACCAAAAGGCGGCAAUAGCUUUACCAAUUCUGGCACCCGCCCUGCCCGCACCCGAGCUUCCGCGCCUACCCCCGCGACCUGACCUGACUCUGGGUGCACCCCAGAGGACCUACAGUGGAUCCAGAACCACCACUGCCUAGAGCCUGAUCAGCAUGGGUGGCAUCGGGACCCAGAGGGAGACUAAUAUUGCCGGGAAAACUGGGGACUGUGCCUCCUUUCCAGCCUGCACCCAGCCACCCAUUUAGGAAAGAUAAAGUUGCUGACAGCUCUCGAGUCCGCCUUAAGUUCCCCGAAAAGCCACCCAGAUCCAGGAAAUCGUGGACCAAUGUGUUGGGUGCCAGGCUAUGAAACCCAGUAGGAAGGGACCCCUACAUACAGGUUGACGGCAUUGGGCCUUGGGUCCAUCACUCCCACGUACGCCGAGCCACCCAGCCGGAGCAGAGACAAGCCAGGGAGUGCACUGUGA